rnacentral:sRNA from 1 species
GCUGGGCAUGGUGGCACAUGCCUGUAAUCCCAGCAACUCAGGAGGCUGAGGCAGAAGGAUUGCAAGUUCAAGGCCAGCCUCAGCUUAGGGCUCUAAGCAAUUUAGCAAGACCCUGUCUCAA